UACAGAGGCCCCAAGCGUUAGGCGGAAUCACUGGGCUUAAAGCGUGUGUAGGCGGGUCGUUAAGUACCUUGUGAAAUCCCACGGCUUAACCGUGGAACCGCUCGGUAUACUGGCGAUCUUGAGCCACUUAGGGGCUACCGGAACAGAUGGUGGAGCGGUGAAAUGCGUAGAUAUCAGGAGGAACACCAAUAGCGAAGGCAGCUUGCUGGGACGGUACUGACGCUAAGGCGCGAAAGCCAGGGGAGCGAACGGG
rnacentral:rRNA from 1 species